UUGAGCCGUGUGAGAUGAAAAUCUCAUGCACGGUUCUCAGGGGAGGAUGGGCCAGUAAUGGCCCGUCUUUACCCGAC
rnacentral:ncRNA from 1 species